rnacentral:rRNA from 1 species
UGCAGUCGACGAGAUCUUCGGAUCUAGUGGCGCACGGGUGCGUAACGCGUGGGAAUCUGCCCUUGGGUUCGGAAUAACUUCUGGAAACGGAAGCUAAUACCGGAUGAUGACGUAAGUCCAAAGAUUUAUCGCCCAAGGAUGAGCCCGCGUAGGAUUAGCUAGUUGGUGAGGUAAAGGCUCACCAAGGCGACGAUCCUUAGCUGGUCUGAGAGGAUGAUCAGCCACACUGGGACUGAGACACGGCCCAGACUCCUACGGGAGGCAGCAGUAGGGAAUAUUGGACAAUGGGCGAAAGCCUGAUCCAGCAAUGCCGCGUGAGUGAUGAAGGCCUUAGGGUUGUAAAGCUCUUUUACCCGGGAUGAUAAUGACAGUACCGGGAGAAUAAGCUCCGGCUAACUCCGUGCCAGCAGCCGCGGUAAUACGGAGGGAGCUAGCGUUGUUCGGAAUUACUGGGCGUAAAGCGCACGUAGGCGGCUAUUCAAGUCAGAGGUGAAAGCCCGGGGCUCAACCCCGGAACUGCCUUUGAAACUAGAUAGCUUGAAUCCAGGAGAGGUGAGUGGAAUUCCGAGUG